AAUAUUGCGCAAUGGACGGAAUUCUGACGCUGCGACGCCGCGUGAUCGAUGAAGACCCUCGGGUCGUCAAGCUCCUUCCUUGUGGAAGAAGGUCCUCGAACUUGACGGUAAACAAAAAGAAACCCCCGGCUAACGAAGUGCCAGCAGCCGCGGUAGUACGUAGGGGGCGAGCGUUGUCCGGAAUUACUGGGCGUAAAGGGUGCGUAGGCGGCCCUUUAAGUCAGAUGUGAAAGGCCACGGCUUAACCGUGGGAUUGCAUUUGAAACUGGAGGGCUUGAGUGUCGGAGAGGGUAGUGGAAUUCCCAGUGUAGCGGUGAAAUGCGUAGAUAUUGGGAGGAACACCAGUGGCGAAGGCGACUACCUGGACGAUAACUGACGCUGAGGCACGAAAGCUAGGGGAGCAAAC
rnacentral:rRNA from 1 species